UACGGAGGAUGCGAGCGUUAUCCGGAUUUAUUGGGUUUAAAGGGUGCGUAGGCGGCUUUUUAAGUCAGCGGUGAAAUUUUGCAGCUCAACUGUAAAAGUGCCUUCGAUACUGGUUUCCUUGAGUGUGGAUGAAGUAGGCGGAAUUUGUGGUGUAGCGGUGAAAUGCUUAGAUAUCACGAGGAACUCCGAUUGCGCAGGCAGCUUACUAAACCACUACUGACGCUCAGGCACGAAGGCGUGGGGAUCAAACAGGAUUAGAUACCCCUGUAGU
rnacentral:rRNA from 1 species